GAGUUUGAUCGUGGCUCAGAUUGAACGCUGGCGGCAUGCCUUACACAUGCAAGUCGAACGGCAGCAUGAUCUAGCUUGCUAGAUUGAUGGCGAGUGGCGAACGGGUGAGUAAUACAUCGGAACGUGCCCUGUAGUGGGGGAUAACUAGUCGAAAGAUUAGCUAAUACCGCAUACGACCUGAGGGUGAAAGUGGGGGACCGCAAGGCCUCAUGCUAUAGGAGCGGCCGAUGUCUGAUUAGCUAGUUGGUGGGGUAAAGGCCCACCAAGGCGACGAUCAGUAGCUGGUCUGAGAGGACGAUCAGCCACACUGGGACUGAGACACAGCCCAGACUCCUACGGGAGGCAGCAGUGGGGAAUUUUGGACAAUGGGCGAAAGCCUGAUCCAGCAAUGCCGCGUGUGUG
rnacentral:rRNA from 1 species